UGGCCUAUGAUGAAUUAAAGUUUUGCCUACAUUGUCUGAUUGUUCGCUAUGCAGUGAAUUGAAAAUUUGUGAGGCAAA